rnacentral:lncRNA from 1 species
AUAACUAUAUUCAUUCGAAUUUGAAACAAGUAUUACUUAUGAUUUGUUUUAUGGAAUAUUUACAAAAUGCCAUUUUACAUUCUCAAGCCAUCGAACGUUUUAUACUCUCAAGAUUCUAUUGCAAGCAAAUUUAGAAAUGGCCGCCUGAUAGGAGAAAUUCGGGAUGACAUUUUAGAUGGGAUUAUGUCUGUCAAAGACUUACCAAGGAUCAAGGUUAAACUAAUUGACGGUAAAUACGUUUCCGCUGAUAUAGACGUUUAUGGGUUCUGAAUGAGUUAGAAAGGUUAGGUCUUCUUGAACAUAUUGAAGUUAUUAUAACAACUAAAAAAAUGGACACGAAGAAAUCUGAAAGGACAGAUCAUAUAAAAAUUCGUGGUGGUGGACCUGGUGGAAGGUCAACAGAUAUCAAAAAAUAUGAUUGUCAAGUAAUGAUCAGUGAAGAAUAGACAUAUGAAAAGUAAAGAAACGAUUAUUAAAAUAAAGUGACGUUCAUAGAGAUUGUCGAAAGUGGAUACAGUUGUUGUUGAACAGAAAAAGACUAAUUCACAGGAGUUGGAAACGAUAUUGGGAAACGAAAUGUUAAGCAGUGUUCUUUGUGUGUAUUCCUUUGUGACAAUUGAGAAAUUUAUUAAAAGUGGUGAAGGUUAUAUUUUAUAUGCACAAUAUGUAUUCAUUAAUAAUUUCAGUUUUAUUCAAACCUUUCAUUCAACCAUGUACUAUAUUGUUAAAGAUAAAUAGUUUUUCAAAUGUAUUUCUAAUAUUAUUGUAUGUGUAUUGGAUGUGUUAUAUUUGUGGUCUCGAACAUG